rnacentral:rRNA from 1 species
UACUCGAGUGGCGAACGGGUGAGUAACACGUGGGUGAUCUGCCCUGCACUUCGGGAUAAGCCUGGGAAACUGGGUCUAAUACCGGAUAGGACCACAUUUUGGAUGGUGUGGUGGAAAGUUUUUAGGUGUGGGAUGAGCUCGCGGCCUAUCAGCUUGUUGGUGGGGUAAUGGCCUACCAAGGCGUCGACGGGUAGCCGGCCUGAGAGGGUGUACGGCCACAUUGGGACUGAGAUACGGCCCAG